rnacentral:rRNA from 1 species
UUAGAUACCCUAUUAUACUAGAAAAAACUUAAAUUAUUAAUAGAUAUGGUCUUUAAAUUUGAAGAAUUUGGCGGUGAUUUAAUCUUAUUAGAGGAACCUGUUUUAUAAAUCGAUAAACCACGUAAAAUCUUACUUAUUUUAAUAAGUCUAUAUACCGUCAUUAUCAGAUGAUUUUAAAAAAAUUUAAUCAUUAAAGUUUAUGAAUUGAUAAGCAAAAUUAGAUCAAGGUGUAGCUUAUAAAUAAGUUAAAAUGGGUUACAAUAAAAUAUAUUUAUUACGAAUUAGUUGUAAGAAAAACGCUAUAAAGGAGGAUUUAAUUGUAAUAUAGGUUUAAUAAGCUAAAAAGAUAUUAGUUCUAAAUCAUGUACAUAUCGCCCGGUCGCUA